rnacentral:rRNA from 1 species
GACGAACGCUGGCGGCGUGCUUAACACAUGCAAGUCGAACGGAAAGGCCUCUUUCGGGGGGUGCUCGAGUGGCGAACGGGUGAGUAACACGUGAGUAACCUGCCCUUGACUUUGGGAUAACUUCAGGAAACUGGGGCUAAUACCGGAUAGGAGCUCCUGCUGCAUGGUGGGGGUUGGAAAGUUUCGGCGGUUGGGGAUGGACUCGCGGCUUAUCAGCUUGUUGGUGGGGUAGUGGCUUACCAAGGCUUUGACGGGUAGCCGGCCUGAGAGGGUGACCGGCCACAUUGGGACUGAGAUACGGCCCAGACUCCUACGGGAGGCAGCAGUGGGGAAUAUUGCACAAUGGGUGGAAGCCUGAUGCAGCAACGCCGUGUGCGGGAUGACGGCCUUCGGGUUGGAAACCGCUUUCGCUCAUGACGAAGCUUUGUGUGACGGUAGUGGGUAAAGAAGCACCGGCUAACUACGUG